CCUACGGGAGGCAGCAGUGAGGAAUAUUGGUCAAUGGCCGGAAGGCUGAACCAGCCAUGCCGCGUGAAGGUCAGUGCCCUAUGGGCGUUAAACUUCUUUUGUGCGGGAGCAAUAAUGGUCACGUGUGGCCAGACGAGAGUACCGUACGAAUAAGCAUCGGCUAACUCCGUGCCAGCAGCCGCGGUAAUACGGGGGAUGCAAGCGUUAUCCGGAUUUAUUGGGUUUAAAGGGUGCGUAGGCUGUGAGGUAAGUCAGCGGUGAAAUGCCCCCGCUCAACGGGGUGAAGUGCCAUUGAUACUGCCUGGCUGGAGUGCGGAUGCCGUGGGAGGAAUGUGUGGUGUAGCGGUGAAAUGCAUAGAUAUCACACAGAACACCGAUUGCGAAGGCAUCUCACGAAUCCGCGAUUGACGCUGAUGCACGAAAGCGUGGGUAUCAAACAGGAUUAGAUACCCCAGUAGUC
rnacentral:rRNA from 1 species